UGACAUGGACAGGAGACAGGGAAAUACUGGAUAGAACAGGGCAGUUCCCUGGCAAAGGCCCCACCCUCGAGCUUGGAAACCUGCGGCCCUAAAUGGGAACAGGUAUUCCUGUUUUCGAACUCAAGUGUUGCUUUUGGCCCGCCAUGCCUCCCUAUCCUGUACCCACAGAAACCCCAAACCCCAGGCUCCAAGAGCAGAAGAGCAGAAGACUGGCAGAGUGGCAGAACGGCACGGCAGAGAAGAAAAGAGAAGGAGCAUCUGAACACCGAGCUCGGGAAUUCUGCGGGGACAGACCUUCCAUCCGCACGCACAUGGAGGCAUGAUCUCCCCCUGUCAAUUCUAAGGUUCUAAAUUCCUUCCUGCAGACCCACAAUGCUGAAGCUAAUAAAUCUGAGUUAUCAAAUGCUGCACCGGAAGUGGAGACCUGGGUGCACGGAACAUGGGAAAUACCGAUACAGGGGCCCUCUGUUGCAAGA
rnacentral:lncRNA from 1 species